CGGGCUUCAACUCACCUUCUUGUUAGAGACGACGAGCGUGCACGUGCGCGUCUUUAAUGCGUUAUUGUUUUAUAGCAAUAAGUUACGAGUAUUGUUUUGCAUAGCGAAUUUGAGUUUUUGUGAAGUAAGGCAAUCAGAUUGCAGAGAGAGGACCAUUCACGUUGGUCUACAUAUUGUCUCAGUGACAGAGCCAUUCGGGUGUGGUUCGCCGUUCGGGCGGAGAUUGAGAAAGAGAACGCAAGGUUCUCGUCGCGGAUUCUGGAUCUGCGAUUUUCAUACAGCCGUUCGGGCGAGGUCGGUCUGCCUGUUGGGCAGAGGGAGAGCGAACUCAAGGUUCUCUUCUCCUGGUAUUUUACUAUCUAACCAUAUAGCCGUUCGGGUGUAGACUGCUUUUUGGACAAGGAGAGAGAGAAAGAGAGAGAGCGCAAGGCUCUCGUCAAACCCGCUUACAUUUUGGUUAUACAUAGCCGGUUGGACAUAGGCCGCCAUUUUGGACAACCGGAGAUACAAGCGCAUGGAAUCAUUUAUCUGGCUACCUAUUAGCAUCAAUCCAAACACAAGGCUGCUGAUAUUAUCCGAGAGUUAACAGCGCUUUGUGACUAUUAAUUUUCUGUUUAUUUUCAGCGUUAUAUACAGGUAUUUUCUUGUUUCAUUGUUCUUACACCUCAACUCAUAAUACGAGAAGGCCGAGUCUCAUCUGGCAGUGCGGUACUAUUCCAGCAUUUCGAGGGUUGACUAUUGAAACCUGAGCAGUAUACGAUUCGCAUCUUACGGCAACUGAAGUUUACAGCCCUGCCCCUUUUUUUGGCACGAGAUUGCUGCAGAAUUAACUGAUUUAUUUUAGCAUACGAACAUAUUAACUAUAUUAAAUUUUUCAUAAUAAAUUCACUGUUUGUUAUUUGAAUUUAUCCGUUGAGUUAUAACUAUCAUUUCAUAGUUAACCCACUAACUAUUUUAAACGUCGAGUUCUAACAGUUUCUAAAUGGUUUUGAGACAUUUUGUAUGUUAGUAAAAAGGUCAUGUAAUUUUCUGAAAACAAAGAUUCAGCCAAAAAGAUCACGCUUUUUAAACAUAUUAUUAAUCCUAGAAAAUCUGUUUUAUUUUUAGUCUGAAUUAUUGGUGUUGUAUCUAUUUUUAAUUUUGCAAUGUAUUCAAUAAAACUUUCCGUUUUCACUUUUAUGUCUUGCAAAUGUUCUACAGAAGUUGCUCGUUGGGUAUGAUUUUUUGUCAGACAAUUUCUUGUUAAGCAGAUCGAAUACAUUAUUUAUUAUUUGACAAAACUUUGCCGUUGGUGUUGCACCUUGAAAUUGUAUUAAUUUCAAAUCUUUUUCACAGGUGUUUAGAGCGUUUGCAACGCUACAACUAAAGAUCUGAGCAGCUAGUCGAACUUUCAUUUUUUUCAUAGUGAAAAUGAAUGUGAUUGCGACGAAUUUUAGUCAUGCUAAAUGAAGCCCCAUCUUCUUGUUUUUCACAAGUAACGUGAAGAUGUUCAAAAUGAGUUAUUAACUCAUCUGGAGAAGUUGAAAUUUUUGCUCCAAGUUGUUCCACCAUAGAAAUAUUUGUAGCUGCCCCAUCAAAAGUAACAUUACAAAUUGGAAUUCCAUAAGAAUUUGCAACGUGCAAUAUUUCACUUAAAAUAUUACUUUUUUCUUUGCCCGAUAAUGUAUAGAUAAAGUAAUAAGCGACCACAAUUUUAAAAUAUGAAUUGAUGCCUACUAACAUGAAUACAAGAACAUUUGUAGCUUCUGUAUUGUUAUUACAGUCAUUGGUAUUAUCUCCAAUAUCAAUAUAUCCCUGUAAUUUUUUUCCAUCAAACUCUAUUAGUUUUCUAAUUGCCAUUUCAUCGCAUAUUAAAGAAAAAUAUAAUUUUUUACUUUCAGCUUCGGCAUUUUUACAUAAUUCAGACACAUGCUUCAUCGCAUCAAUUGAAAUUCCCUGUUUAUUAUUAACUGUACUUAAUCACUUUCGAAUUGUGUUCUGAUGCGAAAAAACAUUUAUUAAUGUUUUCCUUACGUAAUCAUAGGCUGUUGGCGAGUAAAAAUGCAAUGUGCAGGCAAAUUGUUUUAGUUCGUUUGGAAAUUGAUCCUUCUUUUGAUGUAGAAGUUUUCCUAUUAACUGUUCAGUUAUGGGGGAAUUUAUUUUCUGUGGAAAUGUGAAAAAAUUGCAAAUUAAGAUC